rnacentral:rRNA from 1 species
UACGUAGGGGGCAAGCGUUGUCCGGAUUUAUUGGGCGUAAAGAGCGUGUAGGCGGCCAGGUAGGUCCGCUGUGAAAACUCGAGGCUCAACCUCGAGAUGUCGGCGGAAACCAUCUGGCUAGAGUCCGGAAGAGGAGAGUGGAAUUCCUGGUGUAGCGGUGAAAUGCGCAGAUAUCAGGAAGAACACCCGUGGCGAAAGCGGCUCUCUGGACCAUUACUGACGCUGAUGCUCGAAAGCUAGGGGAGCAAACAGG